rnacentral:miRNA from 4 species
UUCUCCAAAAGAAAGCACUUUCUG